rnacentral:misc_RNA from 1 species
GCAAGAUCUCUAGAGAGAAUGGCAGAAAGCUCAUUACAUAACCAUAACAUCCACAAGCUAUGAGACCUUACAGAAAGAUCAUGAGUAACCCUAUUCAGUUCUUCUAGUUUUGGGCUUGCACUUUCUUUAGUUCCAAGCAAAGCAGCUUUGGCUAGUGACGUUUGUCUUCUAGAGUCAAUAGACAUUUGUCUUCCAGGGGAAUUAACAUAUAGAGGAGAAUCGGGAACACCUUUGGACUGGCGCAGUAAUGAAGAAUGCUUAUCAAAAACAGAGGAUGGCG